UGCUCAGUAAACAUUAGCUGUAGUGUUUAUUAUAGAGUACACAGGGUAAAAAAUAUAAUAGCAAUUAUAUGUUAAAUAUUUGUAAUAAACAAGGCCCUAGGUUAAGUAUUCUAAGUACAUCAUCUCUUUUCAUCUUUAGAGAAACUCCACAAGGCAAAUUCUAGAAUAACCCAUUUGACAAGUGAGGAAACUGAGGCCCAGAGAGGUUAAGUCAUGUCUCCAAGUCCCAACGCUGCCAAAUGUCAGAGUCCAGUGUUGACUCCAGGCCUUGAGGUCCCAGCCAAGUCCUACCACCAACUUCUUUUCCUAAAACCUAGAAUUAGAUCACUUGUUGAACAUCCGUUGACACUUUACUUUCCAGGGAAUUUUCAAAACCCCAAUCCCUCAGAAGCCCCAAAACCUUUAAUAUGGCCCUUUAAAGCACCAGGAACAUUCACGGCAAAAGCCCAAUAACUACACAUGGAGUAGAAAUUAACAUAUGCAGAGGACUUUUUCUUGUUCAUACAAAAGCUUUUACCCAUACUACCCAAGGUGUGAGAGUGAAUAUACUGCAGGAAUGUACUUCCUACUACAGAAACCAGCAGGGCAAAGGAGGUGCUUUCAGUAGGGUAUGUGUAACCCUUGCUGUGCUCUGAAGAAGAGGGUCAAUUUCUUUGGUGGAAGUAGCAACACAAACCAUUCCUCCAGCAAUAAAAUCCACAGCUCCCUUGACAGCAAAGCUAACCUCAGCCAUACGGGCUUAUCAUGUAUUUCCCAGGACCCAGGAGUCUUUGAAAGUUUCUUGAGUGGGCUUCUACCUUAGCAUUUGCUUUCUGUCAGAUAAUACAGUGGUUAUGUCUGAAGGGUUUCCCCGAGGAGUUCCAGUUCUUUUAGUGGUGGUAACAUCAAGUAGUCUCCAGACAUUGCAGGUGGGUGGUUGAAAUGCUUGCUUUGGGAGGGGUGACCAGUCAGCUGGGGUCACAAAAGCCUUGUAAUUAGAAUCAGUGUGACUAAUUUCCAGGUAGAAUGAGAGGUUCUUGCAAAUUGCUUUUAUAGAAAUUAUACUCACUGGCAUCCAACCUGCCCUGAAUCACCCUAUGCUCACAACAGAAACAGCUGGUGUCAGAGAACUCUACAAAUAUGGCAAAUCAUCACAUGGGACUUUAUCCAUGGAGGCGAGAAUCCUCUUGCAUUGGAAGCUGGUAUGCUGAUGAUGUCAUGGUGGCUCAACUUUCCUGGUGUCUAAGAGGAGUGUCAGAGAGCAACCCUAACAUGGAUGUGUUGGGUGACCGUAGAUUUUCAAAGGGGUCUGUGAAAUUUUAGAGUCAUCUUUUGACAGUUGGUAAAACUGAGACCUCAGUUGGAAAAUGGACUUAUCCCAGUAUACACAAGGAGUGACAGAACUGGGUUCAGAUCCAAGAUCACCUGACCCCAGUCCCACUGCUCUUUGACUACAUCACACUGAGCUAACUCAUCCCUGCAACAUGCACCAAGAAUCUUCCAGGGUUAAAUUGCAGGGUAUAACAUGCACAGCUCAGAGUGUUUGGGAAUAGUUUGGAAAAUCAUCAUGCUCCACAUAUAUCAUCGACUUUAACCUCAGACCUCUGUAUCUUGUCAUUUCUUUGAAGUUUGUAUCAUUGAUAGUUACCACUGAUCUGCCACUCUGUUCAUCUUCUGUGAAUGAAAACUUAUCCCACAG